UAUCCAUCCAGCAUCUUGGUCAUACAACAAACAAACAAUUAGAUCUAUAAGCUUCUAAAGUCACUAUCAGAACGUUUUUGGGUUUUCCAGAAACCCAGGUAGUUCGACUAGGUACUUUCCAGGCCAAAUUAAUCUAGGUUCUGUCCAUUAGUUAAGUGUUAUUAUGGUUCAACUCUAUAGUCCACAUGUCAUUGAACAUAACUAUAACCACAGAUCAUACCAACUACAUCACAUGUUCCAGAUUCAUCUCGGUCAAACCUUGUCAGAAUCAUUGUUCAACCGGUUUCUGGGUUUUCCAGAAAUGGUAUCCAUGAUCGACAGGCCUUGUUUGACCAUCCUCUCUGUUCGAUCUGUUGAUGGUUUAAAGGAUCUUAAGGCAUGGAUCUAUACUCCAGACAACCGGCUACAAAUACAUUACAACAACAUCAACAAACAACAUCAUAACUGUCAGAUCUGGGCCUUGCAAAAAGUUGUCAGACGCUGGAAAACCAUUUCUGGGUUACCCAGAAUUUGACUGGUCAUGCCCGGUCAACGGGUUUUGACCACGAAUAAAAUGAAAUCUAGACCUUAACUGACUGCGAUUUCACUUGCAGAACAAAGACCUCAUACCAGACUACCAAUCCAAAACAUAAAACAAGAAAAAUAAUAAACAGAGAAGAAUCUGUGGCUCCUGACAUUAGCUUGUCAGACCACACUUCAAGCUCAAGAACAAUUUUUGAAAAACACUAUUUUAAGGCACUUUGAUGCUAUGGAUCCAUGAUGGAUCAUCAUAGUUCAUUCUAAAACACCUUCUAGUAUGAAUCUAAACAUAUAAACACGAAAUUUUUCUUAGCAUACAAGAUCAAACUAUGAGCUAGGGUUUAUACCUCUCUUGUCCAAUCUUUGAUCCUUGAUCUCCUUAAUUGAUUUUGGUGAUCUAAAGGCUUGGUUAAUGACUGAUUCACUUAG
rnacentral:lncRNA from 1 species